rnacentral:lncRNA from 1 species
GGCUAUCAAAUGGUAGAAUGCAUUUUUUCCCAUCUCCAUUCCCAUGCAUUUUCUAGCCAGGAUGUUGUCAAUAAUUCUUAUUAUUCCUAGUUCUUUUUGUUUUCCUUUUGCACUCUGAUUUAUUUUGUCUUCUGUAAUACUCAAAUACCUGACCUAUAAAUUUAUAUUAAAAGGUAAAAUUGUAUAUUACAAAGAAAAGCUACUUCAAGUAAUUCAGACACUAAUUUAUAGUCUUUUU